GCGGGCAUAGCUCAGUUGGUAGAGCGUCGCCUUGCCAAGGCGAAGGCCACGGGUUCAAAUCCCGUUGCCCGCUCCA
rnacentral:tRNA from 1 species